ACGGAGGCAGCAGUAAGGAAUGUUGGUCAAUGGGGGAAACCCUGAACCAGCGACGCCGCGUGAGGGAAGAAGGUCUUCGGAUUGUAAACCUUUGUCUUUGGUGACGAUAAUGACGGUAACCAAGGAGGAAGCCACGGCUAACUACGUGCCAGCAGCCGCGGUAAUACGUAGGUGGCAAGCGUUGUCCGGAAUUACUGGGUGUAAAGGGAGCGUAGGCGGGUACGCAAGUAAAGUGUGAGAUCUAUGGGCUCAACCCAUAGACUGCGCUUUAAACUGUGUAUCUUGAGUGGAGCAGAGGCAGGCGGAAUUCCUAGUGUAGCGGUGAAAUGCGUAGAUAUUAGGAGGAACACCAGUGGCGAAGGCGGCCUGCUGGGCUUUAACUGACGCUGAGGCUCGAAAGUAUGGGUAGCAAACAGGAUUAGAUACCCCGGUAGUCCC
rnacentral:rRNA from 1 species